GAUGAACGCUGGCGGCGUGCCUAAUACAUGCAAGUCGAGCGAACGGACGUGAAGCUUGCUUCUCUGAUGUUAGCGGCGGACGGGUGAGUAACACGUGGAUAACCUACCUAUAAGACUGGGAUAACUUCGGGAAACCGUAGCUAAUACCGGAUAAUAUUUUGAACCGCAUGGUUCAAAAGUGAAAGACGGUCUUGCUGUCACUUAUAGAUGGAUCCGCGCUGCAUUAGCUAGUUGGUAAGGUAACGGCUUACCAAGGCAACGAUGCAUAGCCGACCUGAGAGGGUGAUCGGCCACACUGGAACUGAGACACGGUCCAGACUCCUACGGGAGGCAGCAGUAGGGAAUCUUCCGCAAUGGGCGAAAGCCUGACGGAGCAACGCCGCGUGAGUGAUGAAGGUCUUCGGAUCGUAAAACUCUGUUAUUAGGGAAGAACAUAUGUGUAAGUAACUGUGCACAUCUUGACGGUACCUAAUCAGAAAGCCACGGCUAACUACGUG
rnacentral:rRNA from 1 species